rnacentral:rRNA from 1 species
GGCUGAGUAACACGUAAGUGACCUACCCCCCAGUGGGGAAUAACUGCUCGAAAGAGUGGCUAAUACCGCAUGAGCUCGCGGCUUCGGUGUCGUGAGGAAAGCAGUGAUGCGCUAGGGGAUGGGCUUGCGGCCGAUUAGCUAGUUGGUGGGGUAAGGGCCUACCAAGGCGAUGAUCGGUAGCUGGUCUGAGAGGAUGAUCAGCCAGACUGGGACUGCGACACGGCCCAGACUCCUACGGGAGGCAGCAGUUAGGAAUUUUGCGCAAUGGACGAAAGUCUGACGCAGCAACGCCGCGUGGAGGACGAAGGCCCUCGGGUCGUAAACUCCUUUUCUAAGGGAAGAUAGUGACGGUACCUUAGGAAUAAGCCCCGGCUAACUACGUGCCAGCAGCCGCGGUAAUACGUAGGGGGCGAGCGUUGUCCGGAUUUACUGGGCGUAAAGAGCGCGUAGGCGGUGGGUCUAGUCGUGCGUGAAAUACCUCGGCUCAACCGGGGGGUGUCGUGCGAUACUGGCCCACUCGAGGCUGG